rnacentral:rRNA from 1 species
GGAAAGGGGGGGGAGACAGCGGCGGGAAUACAGGGGGCCCAGGCGUUGUUGGGUUUUGCGGGGGGGAAAGGGGGUGUAGGUGGUCGGGUAAGUCUGAUGUGAAAUCGCGCAGGUCAACUGCGAAACUGCAUUGGAUACUAGCCGGCGCGAGGAAUGGAGGGGAGACUGGAAUACUUGGUGUAGCAGUGAAAUGCGUAGAUAUCAAGUGGAACACCAGUGGCGAAGGCGAGUCUCUGGACAUUUCCUGACGCUGAGGCACGAAAGCCAGGGGAGCAAACGGGAUUAGAUACCCUAGUAGUC